rnacentral:rRNA from 1 species
UUAGAGGAAGUAAAAGUCGUAACAAGGUUUCCGUAGGUGAACCUGCGGAAGGAUCAUUAUCGUAUAAUGAGGGCACCUAGGGCUGUCGCUGACCUUUACACGUCGUGCACGCCCAAAGUGGCCUCCUACAUCCAUCUCACCCCUUUGUGCAUCACCGCGCGGGCCCCUUUUGGACUUGUUCUGAUCUGAGGCUUUGCGUUUUUAUUACAAUCACCUUUUAAUGCAUGUAUAGAAUGUCUUUGCGAUCAAUAUAACUUUCAACAACGGAUCUCUUGGCUCUCGCAUCGAUGAAGAACGCAGCGAAAUGCGAUACGUAAUGUGAAUUGCAGAAUUCAGUGAAUCAUCGAAUCUUUGAACGCACCUUGCGCCCCUUGGUAUUCCGAGGGGCACACCCGUUUGAGUGUCGUGAACACCCUCAACCUUUUUGGUUUCUUAACCAAGAAGGCUUGGAUUUUGGAGGUUCUCUUUGCUGGCUUUCAUUUGCAAGUCAGCUCCUCCUAAAUAAAUUAGUGGGAUCCGCUUUGCAGAUCCUUGACGUGAUAAGUAUGCUUCUACGUCUUGGGUUUUGCACUGUCACAAGGACCUGCUUCCAACGGUCUUCAAAUGAAGACGACGUUCGAGUUGCGGCUCGACCUUACCGACCUUGACCUCAAAUCGGGUGAGACUACCCGCUGAACUUAAGCAUAUCAAUAAGCGGAGGAAAAGAAACUAACAAGGAUUCCCCUAGUAACUGCGAGUGAAGCGGGAAAAGCUCAAAUUUAAAAUCUGGUGGCCUUUGGCCAUCCGAGUUGUAAUUUAGAGAAGCGUCUUCCGCGCUGGACCGUGUACAA